GCGGAGUAGGCGAGGGGACGCCCCGCCCUCUCGAGGGGCGGGACGCUCCCGUCUGAUCGCCUCGGAAGUCCCGCA
rnacentral:tRNA from 1 species